UUCGGCUUGUGGCCGACAGUUUCUUUAGAGUGCCGCCUUGCGGCAUGGCAACUAAAGAUAAGGGUUGCGCUCGUUGCGGGACUUAACCCAACAUCUCACGACACGAGCCGACGACAGCCAUGCAGCACCUGGACCUAGGUUCCCUUGCGGGCACUUCCUCGUCUCUGAGGAAUUCCUAGUUUUUCUAGCCCGGGUAAGGUUCUGCGCGUUGCGUCGAAUUAAACCACAUGCUCCACCGCUUGUGCGGGCCCCCGUCAAUUCCUUUGAGUUUUAGCCUUGCGGCCGUACUCCCCAGGCGGGGCACUUAACGCGUUGGCUACGGCACCGCGGGGGUCAAAACCCGCGACACCUAGUGCCCAUCGUUUACAGCGUGGACUAC
rnacentral:misc_RNA from 1 species